UACGUAGGGGCCGAGCGUUGUCCGGAGUUAUUGGGCGUAAAGCGCGCGCAGGCGGCUUGGCGCGCCCGACGUGAAAGCCCACGGCUCAACCGUGGAGGGUCAUUGGAAACUGGGGGACUUGAGUGCAGGAGAGAAGAGUGGAAUUCCACGUGUAGCGGUGAAAUGCGUAGAGAUGUGGAGGAACACCAGUGGCGAAGGCGACUCUUUGGCCUGUAACUGACGCUGAGGCGCGAAAGCGUGGGGAGCAAACAGG
rnacentral:rRNA from 1 species